GGCGGCUUAGCCAAGUGGUAAGGCAGGAGUCUGCAAAACUCCUAUACUCCGGUUCGAAUCCGGAAGCCGCCU
rnacentral:tRNA from 1 species